GUUUGUAGGUAUACUGAAUAGGAUGUGUGGUUUGUAGGUAUACUGAAUAGGAUGUGUGGUUUGUAGGUAUACUGAAUAGGAUAUGUGGUUUGUAGGUAUACUGAAUAGGAUAUGUGGUUUGUAGGUAACUGAAUAGGAUAUGUGGUUUGUAGGUAUACUGAAUAGGAUAUGUGGUUUGUAGGUAUACUGAAUAGGAUAUGUGGUUUGUAGGUAACUGAAUAGGAUAUGUGGUUUGUAGGUAUACUGAAUAGGAUAUGUGGUUUGUAGGUAACUGAAUAGGAUAUGUGGUUUGUAGGUAUACUGAAUAGGAUAUGUGGUUUGUAGGUAACUGAAUAGGAUAUGUGGUUUGUAGGUAUACUGAAUAGGAUAUGUGGUUUGUAGGUAUACUGAAUAGGAUAUGUGGUUUGUAGGUAACUGAAUAGGAUAUGUGGUUUGUAGGUAUACUGAAUAGGAUAUGUGGUUUGUAGGUAACUGAAUAGGAUAUGUGGUUUGUAGGUAUACUGAAUAGGAUAUGUGGUUUGUAGGUAAACUGAAUAGGAUAUGUGGUUUGUAGGUAUACUUUAUAUAUGAAUAAAACUAAACAUGCCAUAUUGCAUAAACUUCAAAUCAUGAUGGUUUAUAAAUAACAUAUGAAAGGUGAUCAUUCGUUU